UACGUAGGCAGCGAGCGUUGUUCGGAGUUACUGGGCGUAAAGGGUGUGUAGGCGGUUGUUUAAGUUUGGUGUGAAAUCUCCCGGCUCAACUGGGAGGGUGCGCCGAAUACUGAAUGACUUGGAGUGCGGGAGAGGAGGAGUGGAAUUCCUGGUGUAGCGGUGAAAUGCGUAGAUAUCAGGAGGAACACCGGUGGUGUAGACGGCUCUCGUGGACAUUUCCUGACGCUGAGGCACGAAAGCCAGGGGAGCAAACGGG
rnacentral:rRNA from 1 species